rnacentral:rRNA from 1 species
UGGGGAAUAUUGCACAAUGGGCGCAAGCCUGAUGCAGCCAUGCCGCGUGUAUGAAGAAGGCCUUCGGGUUGUAAAGUACUUUCAGCGGGGAGGAAGGGAGUAAAGUUAAUACCUUUGCUCAUUGACGUUACCCGCAGAAGAAACACCGGCUAACUCCGUGCCAGCAGCCGCGGUAAUACGGAGGGUGCAAGCGUUAAUCGGAAUUACUGGGCGUAAAGCGCACGCAGGCGGUUUGUUAAGUCGGAUGUGAAAUCCCCGGGCUUAACCUGGGAACUGCAUUCGAAACUGGCAGGCUAGAGUCUUGUAGAGGGGGGUAGAAUUCCAGGUGUAGCGGUGAAAUGCGUAGAGAUCUGGAGGAAUACCGGUGGCGAAGGCGGCCCCCUGGACAAAGACUGACGCUCAGGUGCGAAAGCGUGGGGAGCAAACAGG